GUUUUUUAAAUUAAAACGAUUGUAUCCGCUAGUUAUUCCGCACAAACAACAUUGCUCAUUUACAUUGUAAAUGAGCAUUCUAAAAUCAAAUUGAACUAUACUGGCCACCAUACAUUGUGCAAGGCCAACACGCUAAUUGAUUGUGACUUCAUCGUUUGUCAUUUUGACGGGAUGUCAUUCUUCUAUCCGUGUUGCAAGUGGAGGUGUAAUUAUAAACACGGAUAUGAUGGGACUACUCAGCACAGAAAGUCAAAGACACAUCAACCGUUUUCAAGUUCAAAUGCCAACAUCCCUGGUAGAUCGGUGUUGGCUUACGGAAUACUGACUGGCCCUCUACAGUCUUCAACACGUACGUCCUGCUUAUGCUGCAGCCCAACGAUGGAGCCAUCGACUGGGAGUGCUGCCUGCCAGCCUGCCGAAGGGGAGGCAGGGAGGUCUGGGAGCGUUGGAUGCACGACGUAAUGGAAUAAUACGCAGCGGAGGCGCGUGCUAUACAAGCUUGAUACGAGAUGCUCACCAUGACGCAGGCCUUUCUCGCGGUUGGUCAGGAGACCGGUCGAUGGCCGAACUCUGACUGAGCUGCAGGGGGCGGGAUGGUCUAGAGGCUAGCAAGCGGUGUUCGACCACCGUUCGAAAGGUUCCGGGUUCGAUCCCUGAUGUCUGCAGCCUACCUACUACCGACUUGAGGGAUUUAAGGAGGAACGCGCAUUCUUCACUUCCUCCUUGAGAAAUGAACUCCAGUCCUGGUGUCUGAGGCGAUGAGGUUCCAGAGAGAUAGAGAGAGAGAGAGAGAAACACGAGUUACUGGCCCGAAUCUGUCAAAUCUGUCUUUAGGUCUAGUCGAUGCUCUGUUGGAUGUAAUUAAAAAAUCAUGAUCUCGGCCCCCUUCUUCUACUUCUUUUUCACACCAAGAGCUGUCAAUGUCUCGCAGAAAUAACGGCGCCCCUAAGUUUUGAGUAUCCUGACAUGAGCGUCUUAAAUGUGCAAAUGCCAACAAAGGUACAGAGAUUAGCGACGGAUGACUUGACACUCAUUUUCUAUUGACUUCGGUUCAUGUAUUCAGUCACAUUUUUUCCAUUGUGACGUGGU
ensembl:lncRNA